CAAGAAUUGAAGAAAAGAUUUGUAAGGAACAGAGGCAAAAGGGAAGAGCGGACCACCAAGGGAGAAAAAGGGCCAGACCCGGAUGGGCGUACUGGCAAAGGCUCUUGGGAACCUGGAAGACAACGAGGGUUAGAACGACCAUUUGUUUUCUGAAUGAUUCAGGCUGUGGAAAGACAAGAAAAAUAAUCAUGAAUGCAAUGAAUUCCCUUUCGUGCAAGAAGAAGGCAGGUGCUUUGUAACUGGUCACCAAGUCCCCCUCGUGCAACGGAAGAACACGGCUGUCCCUGGCAAUUCCCCAACAGCUGGCUCAGAAUGAAGUUUGAACUUUGCACUCAUGGCGCAAGCGGCACUAACUGGUAGGACCUGGAAUUAAACCUGUUAUCCAGGUCCGGACUAGUGCCAGGCUUGCUACAAAUGAGGGGCCUUUCCUACUAUCCUUUUGGGUGGUAACUCUUUUCAGAGGGUGACAAAAACAAUAAAUGCCAUGCAAACUAAA